GACGAACGCUGGCGGCGUGCUUAACACAUGCAAGUCGAGCGGUAAGGCCCCUUCGGGGUACACGAGCGGCGAACGGGUGAGUAACACGUGGGUGACCUGCCUCAGCUCUGGGAUAAGCCUGGGAAACCGGGUCUAAUACCGGAUAUGACUCCAUGACGCAUGUUGUGGGGUGGAAAGCCUUGUGCGGCUGGGGAUGGGCCCGCGGCCUAUCAGCUUGUUGGUGGGGUGAUGGCCUACCAAGGCGA
rnacentral:rRNA from 1 species